GGGAAUUCGAUUAGAGUUUGAUCCUGGCUCAGAAUCAACGCUGGCGGCGUGCCUAACACAUGCAAGUCGAACGCGAAAGUCCCGAAAGGGAUCAGUAGAGUGGCAAACGGGUGAGUAACACGUGGGUGACCUGCCUUCGAGUGGGGGAUAACGUCCCGAAAGGGACGCUAAUACCGCAUAACAUCCUGCUUUUUAAGAGGUGGAGAUCAAAGCCGGGGAUCGCAAGACCUGGCGCUUGAAGAGGGGCCCGCGUCCGAUUAGCUAGUUGGUGGGGUAAUGGCUCACCAAGGCAUCGAUCGGUAUCCGGCCUGAGAGGGCGGACGGACACACUGGGACUGAGACACGGCCCAGACUCCUACGGGAGGCAGCAGUGGGGAAUUGUUCGCAAUGGGCGCAAGCCUGACGACGCAACGCCGCGUGGAGGAUGAAGACCUUCGGGUCGUAAACUCCUUUCGAUCGAGACGAAUGGCCUUCGGGUUAAUAACCUGGGGGAGUGACGGUACCGAGAGAAGAAGCCCCGGCUAACUCCGUGCCAGCAGCCGCGGUAAUACGAAUCACUAGUGAAUUCGCGGCCGCCUGCAGGUCGACCAUAUGGGAGAGCUCCC
rnacentral:rRNA from 1 species